UUUUUUUUUUGCUUGCACUAAUAAUUUGAAUUUUGAAACAUUUAGAUUCAAAUUUUAUACAUUUUAUAAAAAUUUAUAAAGAUUUUCUACCUAAUAAUAUGACAGAUCAUUACCAAUAGUUGCUAACUCAUAUAACAAAAGGCUAGAAUGAUAGGUUCCCAGGAAGAUGGAGACAGACCCUUAUCUCCCAAAUGUGACUGUUGACCUGGAGACCUGCUCUGGACGUGGGUAUGGCCCAGCACAAGAUCUACACCCUUUCCCGGAAUGUGGAGCAUAGAUUAACCACCUACAAGGAUUAACUGCUCUCUGUCCCGGGACUGACUACCUACCCCUCCCCAGACCUCCCCUCCCCCUUCCUGCCACAAGUUUCCGCCACCACCUCCAGCCACGGAGUCCCAUCACAGAUCCUUUAUAAGCUCAGCACCUCCUCACAGUGAGAGCUGGCGCCAUCCUGAGCUCAGACCGUGCCCCUCUGAUGACUUAAUAAAUCUCUUGCUUUACCAACUAGGCCUUGCACAUUCCUCCCUCAUCAAACCUAACCUUUAUACUGUUAUAAGAUUAUGAAGUUCAUCUUAGUUUUUUAUAAUAUUCCAAAGACAGGUAAUUAUUUUCUCAUUUAACAAAUAUGUUUUUUAAAUAAUUAAAGUACAUGACUUUCAACAAAUUUCAGAAGUAAAAUGUUUGACUUACAGGCUACAUGUAUAUUAGGUACAGGGCAGGUUUAUUUAGUUAUUUAGUUAUUUAGUUAGUCCUAUAUGUAAGCACAUUCUAUAAAUAGAAUACAGUGAAAUUUCAUUAUAGGCUAUGACAUCAAAAACAUACAAAGCUGCUUUAAUGAUGAUUAGAAUUCUUAUACUGUUUAAAGAAAAUCAACUAGUUUUCUUAAAUUUCUGUGUUUUGCUUACAAAAUCACUUCUCAGAUGGUCUUUAGUAUCAAAAAUCAAGGUACUAAAAUGGAUAAAAUAGUCAUGUUUUCUUCUUGAUGCUUUUAACUUAUUAGAAACAUCCUGACAUGUUGUUUAUGAAUUUAGUUCACAUCAAUGCAACCAAGGGAUAAAAAUGAUCCCGAGAUAAAUUUGCAGAAUCAUUAUUUUAUUUUCCCCACUUUUUAAAAUAUUGUUGAUUAAAGCUUCCUGACUUUAAUCAACAAUAUUAGGAAAAUAAGUUAAAAUUUUAUAACAGUACCUGAUAGGAGGCAGCAAAAUUCACUGGGUGAUACACAGCACAGCUGUACAAAACUCACUUCAGAUAGACCCUUAAAGGCUCUGCUUUAAAGGGUAGGGGUGCUAUUUAAACAAUUAUUUACAGAGUUGUUGCUAAAGAAAAGAGCCUCAAGUUUCUGGGGCUCUGGUCCUAAAUCAACUUCACAAAAUUUUAUUUCUAUCUACUAUAUACAAAACCCUUUCUAACCUCUACCAUGUAAACGAGUAGACUAGAGCUUAAAUGAAGGGGAGAAGGAGAGAAACUGUCUAGUUUGGUUAGGAGAGGGGGAUGGGGUGUUCUGAGCCAAACAGGCUAAACAGCCCCUUGAGAUGCUAAAGCAGUACAGAAGACAUUCCAGAAAGAAGACAGAACGCAGACUCUCCAUGUCCCAUUUCCUGGAGACAAGGAAAAAGACCAGUUGAACUCACCAGAGGAAAAGUAUAACCAUCAGAGNNNNNNNNNNNNNNNNNNNNNNNNNNNNGUGUGGGCUGUUCCAUAGACAGCCUGGAAUAUCAACCUCAGGAGUUUCUUGCUGCAACAACAACCUGGCCAAGGAGAGAAAUCACCCCGCAGAAGCCCAAAUGAUUGCUUUUUUGUUUUCUUAUUAAACAGGGAAAAGGUGGGAUUGUGUGUUACCCGUAUACCGAAGAAAAACUAAAAUUUAUUGUACGAAUAAUGGAGGUGUUGAGCAAAAGAAAGAACUGAUACUUCGCAGAAAUAAAAUAGUACACAGAAAUCAAGUAUAUGUACUCUGAAAAGCCGUCUGUUUAUCUAACAAAAAACUUAUCAAAAUAGUUAGACCAAGCUAAUUAUUGACAGAUGUAGCUUGGCAAUCUCAUCAUCAUUUCUACAUUACCAGAUUCUAAGACCAAAGUCAAUUUUAAUAUCCCUAUUUAUCCUCUUAAGAAAAAUACAUAAGAAAAAUGUUACCUCACUACUAAAUGGAAAGGUCCAAAUUUACCAAAAAUGAAAUUUAAAGAAUUACUAAACAUUAUCACUUUCAAAACUAGCUAGCUUAAUUAAAAAAUUUCCAAAGUUCCCUUGUGGCUCAGCGGGUGAGGGAUCCAGUGUUGUCACUGCUAUGGUUCGGGUUCCAUCCCUACCCCAGGAACUUCCACAUGCCCGGGGUAUGCCUCCUCCCCCAAAAAACUCCCCCAUGCCACACACAUCUAAUACCAUCUAUAUAAGUAUCUUUUUCAUGUCCAUGUUUCUGCAAACACAAAACAUUCUGAAUGACUUGAAGGUUAAGAACAAAGUUGUUUUCACACACAAACAAAUUUUUUAAUGGCUGAACCCACAGUAUAUGGGCCAGGGAUUGAAUCCAAACCACGUCUUCGACAAUCCUAGAUACUUUAACCCACUGUGCCCAGUGGCAAUCAAACCCGAACCUCCAAUCACCCGAGCUGCUGCAGUCAGAUUCUUAACCCACUUAAGAGAGUGGGAACUCCUGUUUUCACACAAUUUAACUGAAUUUAAACGAUUAUGCUUCUAGUAUUAUUAAUCUAUAUAUUGUCAAAAAUACACAAAAUUAAAAUAGAAAAUUAGGAGAAAACAUCUGUAAUACAUACAUCUGAUAAAGCAUACAUUCCCAGAAUAUAUAGAGACCUUUUACAACUCAAUGAGCCAAACACUCCAGUUUUUUAAAUGGGCAAAAGGCUUGACCAAAAAAAGUAUACGAAUGGCCAAUAAGCACAUGAAAAGAUGUUUAACAUCACUGACCACUUGGGAAAUGCAUAUUAAAACCACAAGAGGAGUUCCCGUCAUGGCGCAGUGGUUAACGAAUCCGACUAGGAACCAUGAGGUUGCGGGUUCGGUCCCUGCCCUUGCUCAGUGGGUUAACGAUCCGGCGUUGCCGUGAGCUGCGGUAUAGGUUGCAGACGCGGCUCAGAUCCCGCGUUGCUGUGGCUCUGGCGUAGGCUGGCAGCUACAGCUCCGAUUCGACCCCUAGCCUGGGAACCUCCAUAUGCCGCGGGAGCGGCCCAAAGAAAUAGCAAAAAGACAAAAAAAAAAAAAAAAAAACCAAAAAAACCACAAAAUACUCAGCCCUCUUGGAUGCCACUGACUUAAAGCAACAUGGGACGAAGCCUCAGCAAGGACGCGGAGAACCACAGCCCCCCACAAUGACAACACAAACCCUACUCCACUCAAAAUGGCACAACUGCUUGGGGAAAUGGUACGGCAGUUUCUCAUAAAGUUAAAUCAAUAUUUACCACAUGACCCAGCAGUCCAACAACAAAGUAUUUAGCCAAGAGAAAGUAAAAGAUACAUCCACAAAAGGCUUGCCCAAAUGGUCACAUAGGCUUUACUAAUAAGAGCCAAAACGGAAAAUAGCCCAUGUAUCCAUCAGCAGGUAAAUGAAGAAAACAUAGCAUGUUACUGAGAAAUAAAGAAAAACUACUCAAACAAGCAACAACAAAGAUAAACCUUAAAAACAUAUUGGAUCAAAGAAGCCAGUCACUAGAGUAUAGCCUGUGUAUUUCAUUCAUAAUUCUCGCACAAGAGAAAUCUGAUGGGCAGUUGAGAGGGAAUGACUGCAAAGGAACAACAGAACUCUGAAAUGACAGCAAGGUUAUGUUUUGAUUGGGGUGAUGGUUGGCUACACAGGUGUUUACAUUUGUCAAAAUGCUUCAAACUGUAACCUUCAAAUGUGUGCAUUUUAAUGUUUAUAAAUUACAAUUCAAUUAAGUUGAUUUUUUACACUAAAAAAUGGAUACCUCUCUAGAAAGCAAUUUUACAACAUCUAUUAAAACUUGAAAUGUGCAUAAUCUUGAACCAGCAACUCUCCCUAUAGAAGCUGUCAAGCAAACAUUCAAAGAUACAUAAAGAUGUUGCCUCCUCUGGGGGAGAGAGCACCAGGCCCACCAUAGAUGACUAGUUUACUGCUUGACAAUACCCUGAUUUCUAUGUAUGUUAUGCUUAGAGCAGAGGGCGGCACACUUCUGUAAAGGGCCACACGGUUAAGUACUUUAGCUUGGCAGGUCACAUCCAGUCACCUUGCAUAUUCUGGGGGUGGGGUGGGGGUGUUGUUUCACUACUCUUUAAGAAAUGCUAAAAUCAUUGGUAGCUCAGGGGCCUUACAAAAACAAAAACAGACACAUACCCAAGCUGAGAAAUCGGGGCUUUGAAGCCCAAAUUCAAACCCUUAUGCUACCAUUAACUCGUUACCUAAUUUUUCCAACUCUUGUUAUUACAGUAUACAUACAAAAUAAAAGCACUUAAACAGUGUCAACCAAAUACACAAGAAAUAUCAGCUUUGUAAGAUGGAACAAUCUCUAUAUUGACCUUAAAACAAGUGCUAUAACAAAAUAACUUGAUCCUACUUUGUAGGAUAGAUGUAUAAAUACAUAUUCACAUGAAUACACUAGAAAGUUUGGGAAGAAUAUACACCAAGCUGCUAAGAGGAGGACUUGAGAUUACAAGGAUCAAUCAAGAAAGGUUUCACUUUAUAAAAGUCUAAAGUGUUUCAGUAUUUUGAAAUGAACACAUCUGUUUUUAAUCAAUUGACAAUCUAAGUAAACAAAAAUAGAUAAAAGCAUGCAUGGCACCAUUUUUCUUUACAUACAGGUUCUAAGCACAUAUUUAAAAUUGCAAAGUGUUUAGUUCCAUUAAUGAGAAAGUACAUCAACUCUAAAAAGUACUGGCACAAUAACUAAAAAUCACUUAUCAAACAUUUUAUGCCAGGUGUGGUUUUAAGGGUUUCACAUGCAUUAAUUCAUUUAAUCCUCUCAACAACCUUAUGGAAUGAAUACCUCUCAUUAUGAUCACCAAUUUACAAACAGGGAACUCAGACAUCAAAGACAACGUGCCCAGCACAGGAACUGGAACCCAAGCAACUUGACUCCAAAGAUCUCACUCUUAAAACUCUAUUGUACUCCCUCCAGAGUGCACACUAUUACAACUAUGGCUGAAAAGAAAUCCACAAAGACAUUUUUUAGCUGUCAAAGGCAUCAGAUCCCAUAAAACCACAAUUACCUACUUUUAAAGAAUGCUUUCUGAUUGAUUCAAAUAAACUCACUCUUCUUAGAACUGAUAUGUGUCUUCAAUUAUCCGGGAGACCAGGAGGUUUAACAUGGAGCCAAAUAGAAUCUCAGUUUGGAUCCUGACUGCAAAUUCCUAGCUGGAUAGUCCUGGGAAAACUCUUAAUCCUCUACAGCAAAGUUUCCCUAUCUGUAAAGAUCUGUAGAGUGUGGCUGUCGAUAAAGGUUUAACUGCAAAAUAUAUAUAUAAGACAAAAUUUACCAUUUUAACCAUUUUUAAACAUAUAAUUCAGUGGCAUUAAACACAUUCAAAGUGCUGUACAGCCGUCACCACCUUCCAUCCACCUUCCAUGUUUACAGCUUUUUCAAAUUCCCCAAAAAACUCUGUCCCAAUUAAACACUAGCCUACCAUGCCCACCUCCCCUGGGGCCAUGGUAACCUCUACCCUACUUUUUGUUUGUAAAUUUGCCUAUUCUAGGUAUCUCCCAUAAAUGGAAUCACACAACUUUUUUCCUCUAGUGUCUGGCUUAUUUUGCUUAGCAUAACAUUUUCAAGUUUCACCCAUGU
rnacentral:lncRNA from 1 species